UCUUAGGCUUUGUUAGCACCUAGCUUCCAUGCAAGGGAAAGGAAAAUGAAACCCAGGAUGAUCAGGUUUCCAAUCAAGAACUGUUCAUUUGUCAGGGCAAUUGGUCAAAGGAAGCAGUGGAAUGAUACAAGAACCACAGGGGCCUUGUACAACAGUUCAUCGUUUCUGGAUCUCUUUCAAUCGAAGCUGAGAAGAACCGCCACCUCCAGCUGGUGAACAGCAGCCUGGAAAUGAACAUUAUCAGUUCCAUCUUCUCAUUGAUUGGGAUCAUUCUUUUCUUAGUAGAGCUGAGUUCUAGUUUAUUCACCACCAAUCCUGUACAAAAGGCUGUCUGGACGGGUAUGGCAAUUAUGCUGUUCCUUUUUGCUGCAACGGAGUUCUCUAUCGCAGUCUCAGUCUCACAUGUCGGAUGUCAGGCAACCUGCUGUGGACUGCAAAAUGCUUCUGUGUUUUUUGUGCCAUAUCGUGUCAACACAGAUGUUGGAGCUCCAUCUGCAGCAGCAUCCUCAACUCAAGUUUAUAUCAAUGCAGCUGCCAAUCCCUGAGCUGAGACUGAGUUGGGGGAGCUAAAUUAACUUUAUUGCACCUGCACCAGCAGCAGAUGCUCUAAGGAGUAAAUCCCUGCCCUGCAUGAUCCACUUUUAUUCCAUUUCAUGAAUGCACUUCCAGCACCCAAGGCUUCACUGAUUACCAAGGGACUAUAUUCUUCUCUUUCUUUAUCAUUUACUGAUUCUACACUGUAUUAAAUGACAUGGGGAGUUGAUAGAGCUACUCCAUCGAGAAACAGGCUUCUCUCCUGGUCAUUUCCUUUACUGGCUUCUUCAAUAAAGAGAUUGAAAAAGGA